UGCAGUCGACGAACUCUGGUAUUGAUUGGUGCUUGCAUCAUGAUUUACAUUUGAGUGAGUGGCGAACUGGUGAGUAACACGUGGGAAACCUGCCCAGAAGCGGGGGAUAACACCUGGAAACAGAUGCUAAUACCGCAUAACAACUUGGACCGCAUGGUCCGAGUUUGAAAGAUGGCUUCGGCUAUCACUUUUGGAUGGUCCCGCGGCGUAUUAGCUAGAUGGUGGGGUAACGGCUCACCAUGGCAAUGAUACGUAGCCGACCUGAGAGGGUAAUCGGCCACAUUGGGACUGAGACACGGCCCAAACUCCUACGGGAGGCAGCAGUAGGGAAUCUUCCACAAUGGACGAAAGUCUGAUGGAGCAACGCCGCGUGAGUGAAGAAGGGUUUCGGCUCGUAAAACUCUGUUGUUAAAGAAGAACAUAUCUGAGAGUAACUGUUCAGGUAUUGACGGUAUUUAACCAGAAAGCCACGGCUAACUACGUGCCAGCAGCCGCGGUAAUACGUAGGUGGCAAGCGUUGUCCGGAUUUAUUGGGCGUAAAGCGAGCGCAGGCGGUUUUUUAAGUCUGAUGUGAAAGCCUUCGGCUCAACCGAAGAAGUGCAUCGGAAACUGGGAAACUUGAGUGCAGAAGAGGACAGUGGAACUCCAUGUGUAGCGGUGAAAUGCGUAGAUAUAUGGAAGAACACCAGUGGCGAAGGCGGCUGUCUGGUCUGUAACUGACGCUGAGGCUCGAAAGUAUGGGUAGCAAACAGGAUUAGAUACCCUGGUAGUCCAUACCGUAAACGAUGAAUGCUAAGUGUUGGAGGGUUUCCGCCCUUCAGUGCUGCAGCUAACGCAUUAAGCAUUCCGCCUGGGGAGUACGGCCGCAAGGCUGAAACUCAAAGGAAUUGACGGGGGCCCGCACAAGCGGUGGAGCAUGUGGUUUAAUUCGAAGCUACGCGAAGAACCUUACCAGGUCUUGACAUACUAUGCAAAUCUAAGAGAUUAGACGUUCCCUUCGGGGACAUGGAUACAGGUGGUGCAUGGUUGUCGUCAGCUCGUGUCGUGAGAUGUUGGGUUAAGUCCCGCAACGAGCGCAACCCUUAUUAUCAGUUGCCAGCAUUAAGUUGGGCACUCUGGUGAGACUGCCGGUGACAAACCGGAGGAAGGUGGGGAUGACGUCAAAUCAUCAUGCCCCUUAUGACCUGGGCUACACACGUGCUACAAUGGAUGGUACAACGAGUUGCGAACUCGCGAGAGUAAGCUAAUCUCUUAAAGCCAUUCUCAGUUCGGAUUGUAGGCUGCAACUCGCCUACAUGAAGUCGGAAUCGCUAGUAAUCGCGGAUCAGCAUGCCGCGGUGAAUACGUUCCCGGGCCUUGUACACACCGCCCGUCACACCAUGAGAGUUUGUAACACCCAAAGUCGGUGGG
rnacentral:rRNA from 2 species